rnacentral:rRNA from 1 species
UACAGAGGUCCCAAGCGUUGUUCGGAUUCAUUGGGCGUAAAGGGCGCGUAGGCGGGAUGGCAAGUCGGUCGUGAAAUCCUUCGGCUCAACCGAAGAACGUCGGCCGAUACUGCCGUUCUUGAGGGAUGCAGAGGAGAUUGGAAUUCCCGGUGUAGCGGUGAAAUGUGUAGAGAUCGGGAGGAACACCGGUGGCGAAGGCGGGUCUCUGGGCAUCUCCUGACGCUGAGGCGCGAAAGCGUGGGGAGCAAACGGG